rnacentral:rRNA from 1 species
AAUGGGGGCAACCCUGAUCUAGCCAUGCCGCGUGAGUGAUGAAGGCCUUAGGGUCGUAAAGCUCUUUCGCCUGUGAUGAUAAUGACAGUAGCAGGUAAAGAAACCCCGGCUAACUCCGUGCCAGCAGCCGCGGUAAUACGGAGGGGGUUAGCGUUGUUCGGAAUUACUGGGCGUAAAGCGCGCGUAGGCGGAUUAGAAAGUUGGGGGUGAAAUCCCGGGGCUCAACCCCGGAACUGCCUCCAAAACUGCUAGUCUAGAGUUCGAGAGAGGUGAGUGGAAUUCCGAGUGUAGAGGUGAAAUUCGUAGAUAUUCGGAGGAACACCAGUGGCGAAGGCGGCUCACUGGCUCGAUACCGACGCUGAGGUGCGAAAGUGUGGGGAGCAAACAGGAUU